GUGCUUGCUUCAGCAGCACAAAAUUGAAAUGAUACAGAGAUUAGCAUGGCCCCUGCACAAGUAUGACACACAAAUUAGUGAAACAGUUCAUCCUUAU
rnacentral:snRNA from 1 species